CUCGUCUGCAACCCCCCACCCUGGCUCACUUGAUUAUGUGGAGCCAGAGUCGGGGAAAGUGUCACUAUGGAAACAAGGGCAGAGGCAGCGAGGGCUCUCGAUGGGAGAGAAGGAGCGCAGAAACCAAGAGAUGGGCUGUGGAAUUCACCAGCGGUCAUUUGGACUGAAAAUUUGGGAGGUAACAACUGAAUUUUAUUCACCACUGAGGCACAGCUGUGAGGUUUAUUUUUAUCCAAAGCACUUUGCUGAACCUUAAGUGCCUCACUCCUUUUUUUUUUUUUUUUUAAUCAAAGCACCAUUUCUCAGCCCUUUAGACAGAUUCUAACAUCCUUUUCACUUUAUGCAAUUCCCCUGCCAAAUUAUUACCAAUAUAUCUAGCAGCAAGCAUAUUUUAAUAUGACAAGAAUUACAAAUUAAAUAAGACUUUUCCCAUUUAAUAUAACAACAUAUAUUCAGUCAUAAUGAUACAAACCUGGACCCUCAAAUAUUAUGUUUAUAAAUGAAUAAUAUUGAUUUGUAUUAUGAUGAGAACAAUGCAAUGCAACAAAGCUGCUGCAACUAGUUUUCGAGUUUGAGGAGCAGGGCGGUGUCGGAAGAAGGAGAGAAAGGGGGGUGCGCGGGUAAGCAAGGGGAGGAGUAAAAAAAAAAAAAAAAAGUGGGGGGAGUGUUGGUGUAGGGGGAGUCGAAUCGGAGGGAGGUUUGAUAGUGAGACGCCAGCCGAGGCAGAGGCAAAGAGGAGGCGACGACGAAGGAGCAACAUCUUCCCCGAGCUGACAAGUUCGUCGCAUCUCGACUUGCAGUAAAGACGUCCGCUCUGAGCGGGUGCCACUUCCUCCAUGAGGGUCGGUGAAUGUAUGACUCUGGAAGCCCUGUUGCUGCAGUGAUACCCGUCCUAACUCUUCCAGUUUUCCAUCUGAACCAGUUAAGUACCAUUUAUUGUUAAAAUGUCAUCGCUCAAAAUUCACUUUGAUAUACAAUCGAAGUCACAACCUUGGAAAUUUCUAUGACGUCCAAUAAACGGGUGCUUCAAUCACAUCGCCAUUUUGUCCAACAGGUCCAGACGUUGCUACGAAGCGCAAAUAAAAGACGCGGAAACCUGUUAGAAGACUCCCCGAACACACAGACAGCCCACACCGCGACAGCGUGAAGACUGAUUUGUCGUCGCCUGCGGGCUAUAAGAGCCCAGCGUGGCCCUCCCAACCUCCAUGAGGUAAACGAGGAUCCACCAGGAUGGGACUUUGGCUGCCUCACAUGAAGCUUGAACGUGGUCCUCUUGAGUUCUCUGAGUCUUUUUUAGUCAGAUCAUCUUGAGCAGAAACCCAAAUAGUUUGAUAAAUCCAAAUCACUUUCCAGCACACUUCUUCCCUCCCGUCUUCUGAGGGCCUCGCCGCGGCCGCUCUCCCGCGUGCCGACCCCCACCGCCGCCUCUCCCAACCCCCUGCGCAGCGCGGUCGCAUUAUUAAACUUGUAUAAGGUCAUUAGCAUACAAAGCAGGGAACCUACAGCGUCGCAGUCAUACAUAUUUAUCCGGACGUGCCUAGCUCGCUCUGGCGCCGUAACCCCAAAAGCGUGUCCGGCUAUCUGUCGCCGGCGACGGCACAUUUCGGCCACUCGCAAAGUGGAUAUUAGUUGAAGCAUGCCCCAGUUUGAAGGGGGAGAUAUUUAUCGGGAGGAUAUGCGCAUUUGGGUUCAUCGCCGCGCUUUGUUUCAAGCAUAGCAAAUGUAAUUUCCACGCCAGCGUCUGAUAAUAAAAUACAUAUUCAUCUGCCGGCGCACAUAAUCAAGCAGGGACUUUGAUACUACAAGUGUCACCUGCGGGUUAGCCACGCACGAGUGGGAAAGCGGCUGCGCCUCGGCAAAAUCCACUUUGCGCGCAACCACGCCAUCAUUGUCUUCUUGCUCUCCUGGGUAUUACCCAACCCCUUUGUUUUUCCGCUUUUUUCCCUCCCCAACCUCUUUUUCAACCUGAUUGCGCAACCCCCUCCUUGUUUGUUGAAUUCCCUCGCUAAUAAGCCAAAUCACAAAGAAUAUGCUUCAUCUUUGGGAAAUUUUGAUGUAAACAUUUUAGCACGCUUGUGAGCACGCGACUAUAUAGAGCUUCGGAAUAUUUUCUUUGCAUUCUUUAUCUUGUUGCUAGGCAGAGUCAAUGGGGCUCGUUUAUAGCUGCCCCAACAGCCAAUGACAGCACAGGAAACAAAUCAAGGGACUAGGAACAAUAUAUUAGAAUUCUGGAUACUAACACAAGCUACUGGUGGCAACUGCUUCUUCCUCCCCCCUGCCCUCUCUCUUUUUUUCCUUCCUACGAGAUUGCUGUUGUGUCUUAUGGCUUUUUAUUCCUACGUGAUGGUCGAUGGGUUCAUGUAGGAGCAGAAGCCACUAAACACGCGGUGACUGCUCAGCGCGACGACCGAUGAUUUUUUUUUUUUUUUGUAUGUGCAUAAGCCACAGAGAUGAGAUGCCUCAUUGUUUUUAUGUAAAAUGGUCUGGAAAAAUGCUCACACAUGUCCAAUAAGGAAAAACUUUCCACUCAAUUUCCAUUUCUUACAUAGUUUCAAUACUUUUCCCCCCCUAACUUAUCCAACAGUGGCAUUUAUUCCCUUAAAGCUCCCCUUGAGCUGAGUUCACUUCCAAGCAAUUAAGCGUAAAAUUCAAAUGACCUCCAUCCCUGUUGGGUCUGCUUUGGCGCGUUGGGAUUGGGUUAAAAUGUCAACCGUCUAUCACCGCCCCCCCCUCCCCCUCCGGACAAUUUGGAGAAAGCCUAAACGUGCUGUUGUCGCAAGCCAAAAAAAGCCUGAAUUAUGAAUCCAUGUAUAUUACACCGGUUUGACACAUGCUUCCAAUUGUGUGACAUUACUUCUGCACCGAUGCAAGUUUGGAUUAAUAUUCAAGAAGACAUUGCAAUAGCUACGCUCUGCCGGGGUUUAAUGAUUUAUUCAGCGCAGCGAGUUGUUGUGAUCUAAUAUUCUGUGGGCGGGAUGGGAAGUUUCUUUCUCUUGCAUUAUCGGUUUAAUUUAUUUUUCAGGAUUCCGCUCCUACGCGGUUUUUUUUUCUAUUUUAUACACGCGGGGGUCUGAGAGAAUUCCAAAGCAGAGGCGAAAAGAGGGGGGGGGGGCUCCUGGAAGGGAAAGGUGGGAACGCUAACAUGUCUCGGGAAGUAAAAGGCGAGCGUGUUAUUUGAAAACAGCACAAAAAAGGAGAUUGACUGCAGAUGUCCUCGUGCUUUGCCCGCCGCCGCGCGCGCCUUCUGAUCUAACGUUGAAAAUGUCAAAAACAAUCUGCGAUAUAAGACAAGCGCAUUUCCACACACAUACUUUUCGAAAGCUUGAUCAAGUCGCGCGAGGUCACGCGACCCUCGACUUGAAACGACCGGCGACGACGUUGAAAUGGAAAUUCCAUGUGACAAAUGCAAAAGCGUGUGAUGUGUUUUGUGUACAGUAUCAACACCCCCGCAGGCUCCACUUUGAUUUGUCUGUAAUAAAUAAUGCUCUUUUGUGUUCUCUGCUUCAUUUGUUCCCCGUUUGUAAUGUCAGCGCUGUUCAAUAAAACAUGAACAAUGCCUUUUCAACCUGC